GACGAACGCUGGCGGCGUGCUUAACACAUGCAAGUCGAACGAAGAGCGAUGGAAGCUUGCUUCUAUCAAUCUUAGUGGCGAACGGGUGAGUCACGCGUAAUCAACCUGCCCUUCAGAGGGGGACAACAGUUGGAAACGACUGCUAAUACCGCAUACGAUCUAAUCUCGGCAUCGAGGAUAGAUGAAAGGUGGCCUCUACAUGUAAGCUAUCACUGAAGGAGGGGAUUGCGUCUGAUUAGCUAGUUGGAGGGGUAACGGCCCACCAAGGCGAAGAUCAGUAGCCGGACGGAGAGGAUGAACGGCCACAAUGGGACUGAGACACGGCCCAGACUCCUACGGGAGGCAGCAGUGGGGAAUCUUCCGCAAUGGACGAAAGUCUGACGGGGCAACGCCGCGUGAGCGAUGACGGCCUUCGGGUUGUAAAGCUCUGUUAAUCGGGACGAAAGGCCUCCUUGCGAAUAGUGAGAAGGAUUGACGGUACCGGAAUAGAAAGCCACGGCUAACUACGUG
rnacentral:rRNA from 1 species